GAUUUCUGUAGAUCCUGAACAGAAGCUGAAAAGCUGCUCUCACCUUGUUUCUGGAGUUCUACCACCCUGCAGAGCUGAGGUCCAACACACCUGAUCCAGCUGGAGGGGAAAAUGGGCAGUCAAGACCCAAGUGGACAUACAAAAGCAUGCAAAAAAGAAAUACAGCAGGAUCAGGCAGUUUAACAAUGAGGAAAUACUACUGUGUCCUUCCAGUUAGCUGUGGGAUUCAAAACAGUGCCACCAAUGAAGGUGGAUGACACAAUGCGUCACUGGAAGAAGAUUCAGGAGUCACCGAGGAACACAGAAGCCGCUUGCCUGAAAAAGGAAAGUGCAGCGCAAAGAAUGACCAACCACCCGAAUAAUACCUGCUCUGUGGUGGUCCUGUGGGGCCCUGGCCAUUGAAGAACACAAUAAAAGGACGAUAAUAAAGUAUACA
rnacentral:lncRNA from 1 species